UAGAUAGAAAGAGAACCGAGGAAGAGAAAGGAAAAAUAGAGAAGGGAGGCUAGGGUUUGUGAAGAGGAGAAAGGGGAUCCAAAAGUGUUGCUCUAAAGUACAAUUUUUCUCAAAAAUUCCAUUGAAUCUUCUUAGAGUUGCACUCAAUUCAAGGUACUCAAGUAUAGAUGUGGAAGUUUCUUGCUUCAUCGUGUCCUGUUGGUGUGUCGCUCUGUUACGUAGCACUCGGGGGGUCGUUUAUAUCGUUAUUUCUAUGUUGUCGAUGUUUUUAGUUGCUGUUAUUAUAACCGUUGAAUUCAAGUUGAAUAAUAUGAAGUACUUAUUAUACUUCCAAGCUGUUUGAGUUGAGAUAAGCUGAUACUUGAUUGUUAAUUCGAAUGCUAUGUAUCAUUAUUGAAUGAAAUACAAGUUGAGGUUUUAAGUUGA